rnacentral:RNase_P_RNA from 1 species
ACAGAAGAGAUAUGACCGCCUGUCUUUGUACAGGAGGAAAGUCCGGGCUCCUUCGGAAAAAGUGCCGGUUAACAACCGGGCAUUUAAGGAACUAGGUUUUAAGCCGAAGUUAACCCUUCGGCUUUAUCCAAAAGCUUUAAGUGACAGAAAGCGCAGCAGAAAAUAUACCGCCGAAAGGUAAGGGUGAAAAGGCGGGGUAAGAGCCCACCGCGUUUUUGGCAACAAAAACGGCAUUGCAAGCCUCAUUUGGAGCAAGAUCAAGCAGUAACCGGACUCCGAUACAUGGUUGCGGGUAGAUCGCUGAAUAUGAACGGCAACGUUUAUGUUAGAUAGAUGGUCAUGAAUUUUUUAAACCUUUGUUUAAAGAGUUACAGAACCCGGCUUACAUCUCUUCUGUUUUU